AGAGUUUGAUCAUGGCUCAGGAUGAACGCUGGCGGCGUGCCUAAUACAUGCAAGUCGAACGCACAGCGAAAGGUGCUUGCACCUUUCAAGUGAGUGGCGAACGGGUGAGUAACACGUGGACAACCUGCCUCAAGGCUGGGGAUAACAUUUGGAAACAGAUGCUAAUACCGAAUAAAACUUAGUGUCGCAUGACACAAAGUUAAAAGGCGCUUCGGCGUCACCUAGAGAUGGAUCCGCGGUGCAUUAGUUAGUUGGUGGGGUAAAGGCCUACCAAGACAAUGAUGCAUAGCCGAGUUGAGAGACUGAUCGGCCACAUUGGGACUGAGACACGGCCCAAACUCCUACGGGAGGCUGCAGUAGGGAAUCUUCCACAAUGGGCGAAAGCCUGAUGGAGCAACGCC
rnacentral:rRNA from 1 species